rnacentral:miRNA from 1 species
AGAAUCUUGAUGAUGCUUAUU